UCCACCUUGUAUCAUACAACCUUGAUAAACUCCCUUAUUACUUCCAGGAGCAUUUUUGCAGAUUUCAUUGAAUUUUUUAUAUAUAUGAUAACGUUAACUGUGAAUAAAGACAGUUUCCCUUCUUUCCUUCCAAACUGAACAUUUUCAUCCCCCACCCUGCCCAUUCCAGUUGCAAUCCCUGAUUUUCCUUUGAAUAGCAUCAGUUAAAUUUUUAUCUCUCUUAUGGUGUUUCAAAUGAUACCUAUGAAAAAGCUUUUUUAUAAAUGAAUUAUAGACAAAUUCAGCUUGCAUUAUUCCUUAACCAUAUCAUUUUCUCAUCACAGUUUUUUUUCCUGUACAUUCUUAUCGAUUUUUAAAAAGAAGGUUUCUUAUUUCCCUUGUUAGGUGCAGCUGAAAUAUGUUUUCUACCAUUACUAGCAGAAUUCUAGUCUAAUGAGGAGAAAACAUCUAACAAACCCAAGUCCAGGGACAUUCUACGAAAUUCUGAAGUACUCCUCCAAACCAUGGGGCCUUGGGAAACAAGUAAACGGAUAAUGAAGUCAAGAUAGAAGAGUAAUGAAGAUACAAAGUUUGGCGAGUACCAACUGGGAGUGAAAGCACCUUACUUGUCCAAACAGCCCUUCUUGGGUUAAAGAAAACUGACAUUACUAUAGAGUACAAAGAAAUUACAACUGGCCUGUUCAGUCAACAAGCAACAACUGUCUUAGUAUGAAGUCUUACUCCAGAAAUGAAUAAUGCAGCUUACAAGCAAAACCAAAACCAAAGAGCUAAUAAAUAAAUAUUCAAGGAAGUCAAAAUGUUCUGAGCAGAGCAGCACGUAAUGAAUAAGCAAACAAGAAAAUGAAAACAAACAAUGAAAAUCAAUGUGAUGAAGUGCAUUGGUCUAAUGGAGCCUAAGCAGUCCCAGUUCUGACACCUUAGUGUGCCUCUGACUGCUCUUAGUUACCUACAACCUUUACUGCAGGCUUAACUCAGGACACCAUUUUCAUCCUCCAGCAGACUCAAGUUAUCCACAAGUUUGCUGCCUCUUCUACCCACACACAGCCCCUGCCAGCCUUUCUCAGAUACCUAAUCAUUUUCACUCUGAUCUGACCCACUUUGGAAAUAUUUUGUUUUUAUUAGCUCUAGUUUUCUUCACAGGAAAAAAGCCAAUUCAGUAUUAAAAUGCUACCCAAGAUUGACGGCAAAUACAAAGAGGAAGUCUGCAUAUUCAAAUAGGCGAGACAAACUUUUGAAAAUAACAAUUAAAAAAAAAAUUGAUCACUGCUGGCACGAUGGCUGAAUAGGAAGAGCUCCAGUGUGCAACUCCCAGCGAGAGCAAUGCAAAAGAAACCAUAGAAGCCAGAAAAGAGUGUGGGCCAACUUUCAACAUCCAUAAAGAAAACGAUUUUCAACCCAGAAUUUCAUAUCCAGCCAAACGGAGCUUCAUAAGUGGAGAAGUAAAAUCCUUUACAGACAAGCAACUGCUGGGAGUCCUGUGAUGUCAACCAUCUAUGGGUCUCUCAACUGUGGAUACCAGCACCUGUUAUGGUGGAGGUAGUAGAGGGUGCAAUGGACUCUGUGAGUGCCCUUAGCUUUGGUGGUUUAAUGCUCUACACUUGUGCUUAUUGGCCUCAUGGCAGGAGGUGGUGCUUUCUAAAAGCAUCAGCUAUAGUAAGGUGGAGAGGGACUGGUUGUGGGCAGGGCCCUAGAACUACCAAAAUUAUAUGCCUUUGUCUUUGGCUGCCACAGUGGACAGAGACGAACCAUAAGGUGGGGGCAGGGCUAGGCAUGUCAGAGCUCAGACUUUCCUUGAGCAGAUCUUGCUGCAGGUGCUAUGGGGAAUGGGGUAAGAAUUCCCAAGUCACAGGAGUUGUAUAAUGAGGAGGAGGAUGGCUGCCUCUGCUCAGUCAUGCAGGUUGUCAAGUAAGUUAAAGAAAGUUUGCAGUCACAAGCCUCAGCCAGCUCUCAUGCAAACUGAAGGGACAGGUUCAACCCCACCAUGUCCCACUACCCCCAACAGCUCUGAUUCUGUUUUCAAGUAGAGGGCAAGAGGGGCUUGAAAACUUGCCUACCUUAAAAGACCUCUUGAAGGAAGCACUAAACAUGGAAAGAAACAAUCAGUACCAUUCACUGAAAAAACAUACCAAAUUGUAAAGACAAUCAACAAUAUGAAGAAACUGCAUCAACUAAUGGGCAAAACAACCAGCUAGGAUCAAAUUCACACAUAACAAUAUUAACCUUAAAUAUAAAUGGGCUAAAUGCCCCAAUUAAAAGAUAGAGACUGGCAAAUUGGAUAAAGAGUCAAGAUCCAUUGGUGUGCUGUGUUCAGCAGCUGAAUCUUACUUGUAAAGACACACAUAGGCUGAAAAUAAAGGGAUGGAGGAAGAUUUAGGAAGCAAAUGGAGAGCAAAAAUAAAUAAAAAGCAGGGAUAACAAUCCUGAUUUUUGAUAAAACAGACUUUUUACCAACAAAGAUUUAAAAAGAUGAAGAGCAUUACAUAAUGGUAAAGAGAUCGAUGCAACAAGAAGACCUAAUUGUCCUAAAUAUAUAUGCACACAAUACAGGAACACCCAGAUACAUAAAGCAAGUUCUUAGACACAUACAAAGAGAAUGAGACUCCCACACAAUAAUUGUGGGAGUCUUUAACACUGCACUGUCAAUAUUAGACAGAUCAACCAGACGGAAAAUUAACAAGGAUAUCCAGGACUUGAACUCAGGUCUGGACCAAGCAGACCUAAUAGACAUCUACAGAACUCUCCACCCAAAAUCCACAAAAUAUACUUUCUUCUCAGCACCACAUUGAACUUAUUCUAAAAUCAACCACAUAAUUAGAAGUAAAACACUCCUCAGCAAAUGCAAAAAAAUGGAAAUCAUAACAGUCUCUCAGACCACAGUGCAAUCAAAUGAGAACUCAGGAUUAAGAAACUCACUCAAAACCACACAACUACAUGGAAAGUGAAAAACCUGCUCCUGAAUGACUACUGGAUAAAUAAUGAAUUGAAGGCAGAAAUGAAGAUAUUAUUUGAAACCAAUGAGAAUGAAGACACAACAUACCAGAAUCUCUGGGACACAUUUAAAGCAGUGUGUAGAGGGAAAUUUAUAGCAAUAAAUGCCCACAAGAGAAAUGAGCAAAGAUCAAAAAUUGACACCAUAAUGUCACAAAAGAACUAGAGGAGCAAGAACAGACAAAUUCAAAAGCUAGCAGAAGACAAGACAUAACUACACAGAACUGAAGGAGAUAGAGACACAAAAAACCCUUCAAAAAAUCAAUGAAUCCAGGAUCUGGUUUUUUGAAAAGAUCAACAAAACAGAUAGACCACUAGCCAGACUAAUAAAGAAGAAGAGAGAGAAGAAUCAAAUAGAUGCAAUAAAAAAUGAUAAAGAGGAUAUCACCACCAUUUCCACAGAAAUACAACGUACCAUCAGAGAAUACUGAUAAACACCUCUAUGCAAACAAACUGGAAAAUCUAGAAGAAAUGGAUAAAUUCCUGGACACCUAUAGCUUCCCAAGACUAAACCAGGAAGAAGUUGCAUUCUUGAAUAAGCCAAUAACAAGGUCUGAAAUUGAGGCAGCAAUUAAUAGCCUACCAACCAAAAAAAGUCCAGGACCAGACAGGUUCACAGCCAGAGUCUACCAGAGGUACAAAGAGAAGCUGAUACCAUUCCUUCUGAAACUAUUUCAAACAAAAAAAAAGAGACAAUAUUCCAUAACUCAUUUUAUUAGGCUAACAUCAUCCUGAUACCAAAACCUGGCAGAGACACAACUAAAAAAGAAAAUAUCAAGUCAAUAUCCAUGACAAACAUUGAUGCAAAAAUCCUCAAUAAAAUACUGGCAAGCCAAAUCCAACAGCACAUCAAAAAGCUUAUCCAUCACGAUCAAGUCAGUUCUUCCCUGGGAUGCAAGGCUGGUUCAACUUACACAAAUAUAUAAAUGUAAUCUAUCACAGAAACAGAAUCAAACACAAAAAACACAUGAUCAUCUCAAUAGACACAGAGAAAGCCUUUGACAAAAUUCAACAGUCUUUUAUGCUAAAAACUCUCAAUAGACUAGAAAUGGAUGGAAUGUAUCUCAAAAUAAGAACUAUUUAUGACAAACCUACAGCCAAUAUCAUACUGCAUGGGCAAAAACUGGAAGCAUUCCCUUUGAAAACUGGCACUAGACAAGAGUGCCCUCUCUCACCAUUCCUAUUCAACAUGGUAUUGGAAGUUCUAGCUAGAGCAAUUUGGCAAGAAAAAGAAAUAAAGGGUAUUCAAUAAGGAAAAGAGGAAGUCAAACAGUCUCUAUUUGCAGACGACAUGAUUGUAUAGUUAGAAGACCUCAUUGUCUCAACCCAAAAUCUCCUUAAGCUGAUAAGCAACUUCAGCAAAGUGUCAGGAUACAAAAUCAAUGUGCAAAAAUUAUAAGCAUUCUUAUACACCAAUAAUAGACAGAGAGCCAAAUCUGAAUGAACUCCCAUUCACAGUUGCUACAAAGAAAAUAAAAUACCUAGUAAAACAACUAACAAAGGAUGGGAAGGACCUCUUCAAGGAGAGCUAUAAACCACUGCACAAGGAAGUAAGAGAGGACACAAACAGAUGGAAAAAUGUUCCAUGCUCAUGGUUAGGAAGAAUCAAUAUUGUGAAAAUAGCCAUACUGCCCAAAGUAAUUUAUAAAUUCAAUGUUAUCCCCAUCAAGCUACCAUUGACCUUCUUCAAAGAAUUGGAAAAAAAACACCUCGAAUUUCAUAUGGAACAAAAAAAAAGCCACAUAGCCAAGACAAUCUUAAGGGAAAAGAAAAAAGCUGGAGGCAUCAGGCUACCUGACUUCAAAUCAUACUACAAGGCUCCAGCAAGCAAAACAGCAUGGUACUGGUACAAAACAGAUGUAGACCAACAGAACAGAACAGAGGCCUCAGAAGUAAUGCCACACAUUUACAACCAUCUGAUCUUUGACAAACCUGACACAAAUAAGCAAUGGGGAAAGGAUUCUCUAUUUAAUAAAUGAUGUUGGGAAAACUGGCUAGCUAUAUGCAGAAAGCUGAAACUGGAUCCCUUCCUUACACCUUAUAUAAAAAUUAACUCCAGAUGGAUUAAAGAUUUAAAUGUAAGUUCUAAUAGCAUAAAAAGUGUAGAAGAAAACAUUCGCAACAUCAUUCAGGACAUGUGCAUGGGCAAGGACUUCAUGACUAAAACACCAAAAGCAAUGGCAACAAAAGCCAAAAUAGACAAAUGGAAUCUAAUUAAACUAAAUAGAAUGGCAAUUAUUAAAAUGGAAUAAUUAAAUAAAUGGAAUCUAAUUAAACUAAAUAGAAUGGCAAUUAUUAAAAAUCAGGAGACAGCAGGAAAAUGAGGACCCAAGAUGGCAGUUUAGGAGCAGCUCAGGAUUGCAGCUCCCAGUGAAAGCACAGAGGGUGAGUGGAUGCCGGAUUUCCAGACAGAUAUUUACUGCCCACAGACCAGGAGAUUCCCAGGCGGAGGAGCCCCACAGGUCGCCAGCACAGCUAUUUUGGCUGGCACGGCUAUUUUGCUGGUGCCCAAGUGUGGCAGUUCUUCGUACAAAAUACACUGGUCUGGUUGCCCUUUUAAGAUGGUGAUUGGAGCUCUGGGAAGGCAGAGUCGCCCACUCAUCUGAUUAAACAGGGAGCCAGGCCAGGAGAUUCCUGGGCAGCGCUGUUGUUUCAGCCGGCGCAGUGGGUCACAGCAUGUGAAAUCACACAGAUCCUGGCACUUUUUCAACAGGCGACUGGAACACCUGGGAGAGAGUCAGCUGUUCAACUUGAAAAAAAAAAGGCUCUGAGGCAGGAAGCAAGGUUAUCAGGCUUGGUGGGUCCCACCCCCACCCCCCCCAAAAUAAAAAAAACUGCAAUUGGAAAUGCCCUGGGUUGAGAGUUUCACAGCAAGCACAGCUGAACCCCAAAUUGUCCAGCUCUGUGGGGGAGGGGUGUCUGCCAUUACCAAGGCACUCCACCCGUAUGGAGGUAGUCUGCCAUUGCUGAGGCAGCCCACCAUUACCGAGGCAACCCGCCACUACAGAGAGAGUCCACCAUUACAAGGUGGGCAACCAUUGCCAAGGCAGUUCUAACCCAUAUAAACAGGACUACAGGGAAAUUCAUGUGGCAGUAGGGCAGAGCCCACAGCAGCUCAGCAAACCCUCUGCAGGCAGACAGUGACCAGGCUGCCUCCUUGCUGGGCAGGGCAGCCCUGGAUAAAAAAAGGUAGCAGCACAAUGGAAACUCAGAAAUAAAGCCCUAACUCCCCAGGAUAGAGCACCUGGGGGGAAAAAAAUAGGGGUUUAUGAGUUCUGCUGCAGCAGACUUAAAUGUACCUGCCCAGCAGCUCUGAACAACAGAGCUCACAGCUCAGCACUUGUGCUCCUAUAAAGGACAGACUAUCUCCUCAAGCAGCUCCUUGACCCCCAUAUAUCCAAAGAGUCACCUCACAAAGGACUGAUCAGACUGACAUUUGGCGGGCAUCAUUCUGGGACAAAGACAGCAGAAGAAGAAACUGGUAGCAACCCUUACAGUUCUGCAGCUGCUGCAGGUGAUCCCCAGGCAAGCAGAGCCUGGAGUGGACCUCAGCAGUCCUACAGCAGAGGGGCCAGUCUGUUAGAAGGAAAACUAAGAACAGAAAUAACUUCAUCAUCAACUGGAUGUCCACUCAGACCCAAUCUGAAAAUCAGCAACUACAAAGACAACAGGUGGAUAAAUCCACAAAGAUGGGAAGAAACCAGCACAAAAGGGAGGAAAACACCCGAAACCAGAAAACCUCUCCUCCUACAAGGGAUCACAACUCCUCACCAGUAAGGGAACAAGGCUGGAUGGAGAAUGAGUGUGAUGAAAUGGCAUAAUCAGACUUCAGAGGGUGAGUAAUGAGAAAAUUCUGUGAGCUAAAAGAACAUGUUCUAACCCAAUGAAAAGAAACUAAGAACCUUGAGAAAAGAUUUGAUGAAAUGCUAAUGAGAAUGGACAACUUAGAGAGGAAUUUGAGUGAAUUGAUGGAGCUGAAAAACACAACACAAGAACUUCAUGAAGCAUGCAUAAGUUUCAACAGCUGAAUUGACCAAGCAGAAAAGAGGAUAUCAGAGGUUGAAGAUCAACUAAAUGAAAUAAAAUGAGAAGGCAAGAUUAGAGAAAAAAGCACAAAAAAUGAACAAAGUCUCCAAGAAAUAUGGGACUAUGUGAAGAGACCUAAUCUACGUUUGAUAGGUGUACCUGAAUGUGACGAAGAGAAUGAAUCCAAGCUGGAAAAUACUCUUCAGGAUAUUAUCCAGGAAAACUUCCCCAACCUAGCAAGGCAGGCCAAUAUUCAAGUCCAGGAAAUAGAAGGAACACCACAAAGAUAUUCCUCAAUAAGAGCAACCCCAAGGCACAUAAUUGUCAGAUUCACCAGGGUUAAAAUGAAGGAGAAAAUGCUAAGGGCAGCCAGAGAGAAAGGUCAGGUUACCCACAAAGGGAAGCCCAUCAGUCUUACAGCAGAUCUCUCAGCAGAAACCCUACAAGCCAGAAGAGAGUGGGGGCCAAUAUUCAACAUCCUUAAAGAAAAGAACUUUCAACCCAUAAUUUCAUAUCCAGCCAAACUAAGCUUCACAAGUGAAGGAAAAAUAAAAUCCUUUGCGAACAAGCAAGUACUCAGAGAUUUUGUCACUACUAGGCCUGCUUUACAAGAGCUCCUGAAAGAGGCACUACACAUAGAAAGGAACAACCAGUACCAGCCACUCCAAAAACAUACUAAAUGCUAAACAGCAUCAACAAAAUGAAGAAUCUGCAUCAACUAACAGGCAAAACAGUCAGCUAGCACCAAAAUGGCAGGAUCAAAUUAACACAUAACAAUAUUAACCCUAAAUGUAAAUGGGGUAAAUGCACCAAUAAAAAGACACAGACUGGCAAAUUGGAUAAAAAGCCAAAACCCAUCAGUGUGCUGUAUCCAGGAAACCCACCUCACAUGCAUGGAUACACAAAGGCUCAAAAUAAAGGGAUGGAGGAAGAGUUACCAAGCAAAUGGAGAACAAAGAAAAGCAGGAGUUGCAAUUCUCGUCUCUGAUAAAAUAGACUUUAAAGCAACAAGGAUCAAAAGAGACAAAGAAGGACAUUACAUAAUGGUACAUGUACCCCAGAACCUAAAAUGCAAAUAUAUAUAUAAAAUAACAAAGAGCAUAAUUGGAUUGUUUGUAACUCGAAUGAUAAAUGCAUGAUGGGAUGGAUAACCGAAUCUCCAUGGUAUGAUUAUCAUGCAUUGCAUACCUGCAUCAAAAUAUCUCAUGUACUCCAUAAAUGUAUACAUCUGUUAUAUACCCACAAACAUUAGAAAGUAAAAAAGGAAAAAAAAAGUACUUAUUUUAUUGCCACCCAAAGGAACCAUCUCUAAAUGCCAUAAUAUUUGGGAUUAGGGUUUCAACAUAUGAAUGUGGAGAGGCACUAACAUUCAGUUUUCCAAGUUAUAUUUCUAUUAACCCUGUGUGAAAUAGAGCUGUCAUUACUCCUUCUCUUCCUGAACACUUGGGUGUUUUCCAAAUGUUUAACUUUUACAUGUUUUGUCAGUGUUUAACAUCUGUUCUGAUAUAUUGGGACUAUCCAACUAACAUAACACUGAUUUUGUACUAUCACCUUAUCUCUAUUUACUAAAGAGAGACACCAUUGUGGCCUUGUUCAAAUUGUACAGGCCUUCCUACUAUUUAAGGAAUGUCAGCUAGUGAUUUUGUAAGAAAAUAUUAAAUUAUUUUGAUGCUUGUUAAUUUGAAUAUUCCCAGCUUCAGGAAGUAUUGCCAGAAGAUGGCAUAAAUGUACUACAUUGGAAAGUAAAUAAAUAUUUAGAUACAUUUCUGGUUAAGUAGUACAGAGAGUGCUUUGUAAUAUACAAUCCAGUUUCGAUUUUUCUACUCCACUUAUAUUCUGAAAGACUUUUGCACGCUAGAAACUAGAUUUUUGUAGAACUCAAGCAUGUUCAUCUACAUUAAAGCCAACAAAUACAAGAAUUUUUAAGAGGCAAAGAUUUAACUUUAAGUCUAGAGAUGAGAAUCUGCAAACAAUAAAAUCCUUAUUUUCAAAAUGAAAUACCUAUUUUUUUCUUGCUGCUUUAAAAUAAAUGUUGGUAAAUAUUAUUAAGAUUUAUUGAGUAACUAAUAACACUGCCUUUCCAUAGUAAUUUAUUAUAAGUACUUUAUCAUGUUCAAGAGAUAUGUAAAUCUAUGCAAUGCCAUUUAUAAAUGUCUUAGGUUGACAGGAUUAUUUAGUACCUGCUUAAAACAUGAAAAAGGUAAAAACAAGCCUCCUAAUAAUUGAAUCAAAUAAAUAUGUGUUCUCAUUAAUCAAGUUUCUUAAAUAUUUUCUAAAAUGUUACCUGAAAUUAAAAUGCAACUGGCAUUUCUUAUUCAGUUUGGACCCCAAAUAGGAAUAGAACAAAUCUGUAGCACUCAAUCUGGAGUACUAAUCAUGAAAUUGAAUUGUUAGGUACUGUGAUGGCAAUUUCCCAAGAAUAACCUGUCAUCAAAGCCUAGAAAAUACUGUUAUUAAUUUAAUCAGAUUCCAAGUAAGCUUAUGACAUAUGUUUUUUAUAACCUUUCAAAGUUACUUACUCAUACUAAAACUGUCUUAAAAACAGAUGUCAUCUAUCAUUGGAAAACUGGAAAUUUCUAUCCAUAUGUGGCAUUUUUGUCCCAUCUGAACUUUUAAUAAAAAUUUGAUCUAAAUUCUGCCAUUACAGAUCCAUGGAAUAUAAUAACCACUUCUAGAAGCUGAGAUGUGGAGAAAUUUUUUUACUGAUCUCUCCUGAGGUAAAGUCUCAAGUGACUUAUAAUAAUUAUAAUAAUCUCAGUGAGCUCUAACAGUGUUAUCCUUAUCCUGACUAUAUCAUUAUAUAUGCAUUAUCGUUUGUUUAUCACCAUAGAUUCUGUCUCCCAGACUGGACCAUAAGCUCCUUAAAGUAAUAUAUCUUUGAUUUCAUUUUAGCAGUAAUAAAUACUACCUCCUUUUGGUGUAAACCCCUGUGUAAAUGUUGCAGAUGUACUAAUCACACAAUGACUCAAUGUAUUCCUUUCCUGAAAAUCAUGAUUUUCAGAUAAAUUUAUUAUAAUAGGGGCUGGAAAGAUAUUGCAAAGUUCCUUUAUAUAAAUGACUAAAAUACUACUGUAUAGUAAGUAACAUUAGUAGUUAGUAGUAACUAACAUCAGCAAUUAAUUAUCUCUGCCUUUUUAAAAAUUUUGUUGAAAAUGGUUUGACUCUAAUUGAAUAGCAGACACCAGCACAAGUAGAUCUUUCUGUGUCAGAAUUUAAAAUAUCAACAGUUACUUUCUAGAGUGAGGUAGAACCUAAUACAAAAACACCAACUAUCAAUCAAUGACUUUACACUUCACUAAUCCUACAUGAUGUGGUAAAAAUGAUGAACAGGGCCAUACUUGGAGGAGGAUUAGGGUAGAGGAAAUGCCCCAAAGAUCAGGUUGGCAGGUGCCAAAGCAUUCAACCAUCCAAAUUACCAAGACUUUCUUGAAUGUCUGCAAUAUAAAAUACAUCUUGAGAGGUGCUAGAUAAAAAUAAAUAUGGGAUGUGAUGUUACCUGCCCUCAAGAGCUUAUCAUUAAAAUGGAAAUAAAACUCUCCCUGGUAAGAACACAACCAGUCUCAUGCAGAAACAAAAAGAGAACUCUCUUACAAUAAUUUUAAACAAGUACUAUGAAGUAUAAUGCAAGGUUCUUAAAAUGGAAUUUCCUGAAAGAAGAAAUGAAAAUAAUUAUAUCUUAUUUACAUUUAUUAAAUUAUUAAAGGAUAGCAAUUCAAUUGGAAUAUUGCCCCAUUGCAAUACAGGUUUUUGAAUCUUUGUAAUUAAUGGAUCUUUAUAAUAAAUAUGAAUGCCUGCUGAUAGCAUUAAAUGAAAGCCACAUGGGAAAUUUUUAAAUUGCUGGGUAAAGGGGCCAACACUUAAAUGUAUUGAUUAAUCUCAAAAUGAAAAGUAACUCCUUGUUAAAUGCCUUCAGAUAUGGUACAGGAAAGAAAAUUAAAAUCAGCUAUAUGCAUUUUUGCCAAAAAUAAUAUAAUACCUAAUCUCUUAGUAUAUUAUUUUGUGGAAAGCACAGGUGACAAAGAAACAUAGGAAUGCAAUCAGCAAAAUCUAAUGUAUAGAAAAUGUUCCAAGAUAAAUGGUCAAAGUUCUUCAAUUAAUAAAUUGAAGAAUGAAAGUGAGAGAGGGAACCUACAAAAGAGUGUUGUAGAGAUAUUAAAUAAAAGAAAUCCAACCAAACUGUGGAAAUUUGAUUAGUGGCUAAAUAUUUGAUGGUAUACAGUAAUUAUUAUUAUUUGAGAUUAUAAUGAUAUUGUGGUUAUGUUUUUAAAAAUGAUAGUCUGUUAAAGAUAUACUCUAAAGUAUUCACAGAAGAAAUUUUAGAUGUCUGAUGUUUGUUUCAAGAUGAUUACAAAGUUGGAGAAAUAGAUAAAGCAAUAUUGGCCAUUUAGUGAAGCUAUUUGAUGGAAAUAUUAAUGUUCAUUAUGCUAUUAUAUCUACUCUGGCAUAUGUUUAAAAUGUCUGCAAUAAAAGAGGUUAAAAAUUACUCAUAUUAGUAUGCAUUUAAAAUGCAAUUUUAUUAGGAAGAAAACCCUCUGGCUAUAUUUCUUUCUUUUUCCUUUUUUUAAUUCAGUCUCUGUAGAGACUGUCAAAAAUUGCCAAUGCUGACUAUAUUUCAAGUCAUCAUGGUGGGGUAUAGGGAAAAGUUUUCAAUUAACAAUAAUUACGCCUUGGAUAAACCUCAUUGGCUACAAUACUGCCACUGUGCAAAGCCUCUGGCUAUAUUUCUAAUUUCUAGUAUAUCUGCAUAUAUAGCCACAAAUAAAUACUGCCACUGUGUAAAGCCUCUGGCUAUAUUUCUAAUUUCAAGGAUAUCUGCCUAUAUAGCCACAAAUAGAAUAUAAAGAUAAGAAAAGUGAAACAGGAAAAGGAUGUGGUCCUCAUUAUAUCUGAGUAUUUCAUGGGAGAGAGCUAUUUUAUAUUUUUAACUUUAGAAAUAAUGUAUAGUAAAAAAAAUUGCAGGAUUGCUGGCAAGAUGGCUGAAUAGGAACUAUUCCAGUGUGCAGCCCCCAGUGAGAGUGAUGCAGAAAGCUGGUGAUUUUCACAUUUCUAACUGAGGUACCUGGUUCAUCUCAUUGGGACUGGUUAGACCAAGGAGGGUGAGCCAAAGCAGGGCGGGGAAUCACCUCACCCAGGAAGCACAAGGGGCCAGGGAACUCCACUCCUAGCCAAGGGAAGCAAUUAGGGACUUUUCACAGCACUCUGGCACUCUGGCCCAGAUACUUUGCAUAUCCCACAGUCUUUACAACCCACAGACCAGGAGAUUCCCUCCAGUGCCUACAAGACCAGCAUCCCGAGUUUCCAGCAGAAAACUGGGCAGCCAUUUGGGAAGACACUGAGCUAGCCACAGCAGUUUUUUUUCAUACCCCAGUGGUACCUAGAAUAUGGGUGAGACAGAACUGUUCACUCCCCUGAUAAAGGGAGCAGAAGCCAGGGAGGCAAGUGAUCUGGCUUGGUGGGUCCCACCCCUACAAAGAUCAGCAAGCUAAGAUCCACUGACUUGAAAUUCUCACAAGCAGCAUGGCAGUCUGAGCUUGACCUGGGACAUUUGAGCUCAGUGGGGGUAGGGGUCUCCACAAUUGCUGAGGCUCAAGUAGGUGAUUUUAGCCUCAUCCGGAAAGUUUACAUAGCGAUGGUGUGGUGCCCACAGCAAGUCAGCAAUGCCUCUGUAGGCAGACUGUGUCACUAGGCUGCCUCAUCACUGGGCAGGGCAUCUCUGCAAAAAGGUAGCAGCCCAUCAGGGACUUACAAAUAAUGCCCCAAUCUUCCUGGGACAGAGUACUUGGAAAAGGGGUUGGUUGUGGGUACAACUUCAGCAGACUUAAAUAUCCCUGUCUGACAGAUCUGAAGAGAGCAGUGGGUCUCCCAGCAUGGUGUCUGAGCUCUGAUAAGGGACAGACUGCCUUCUGAAGUGGCUCUGUAACCCCUGUGUUUCCUGACUGGGAGACACCUCCCUGUACAGGCUGACAGAGACCUCUUACAGGAGACCUCUGGCUGGCAUCUGGUGGGUAGCCCUCUGGGAUGAAGCUACCAGAGGAAUAAACAGGCAGCAAUCUUUGCUGUUCUGCAGGUGAUUCCCAGGCAAGCACUGUCUGGAGUGGACCUCCAGCAAACUCCAGCAGACCUGCAGCAGAGGCAUCUGACUGUUUGGAAGGAAAACUAACAAACAGAAAUAAAUAGUUUCAACAUCAACAAAAAGGAUAUCUACUCAGAGACUGCAUGCAGAGGUCACCAACUUCAAAGACCAAUGGUAGAUAAACCCAUUAAGAUGGGAAGAAACCAGUGCAAAAAGGCUGAAAAUUCAAAAAGCAAGAACACCUCUUCUCCUUUAAGGGAUUACAACUCCCCAUCAGCAAGGGAAUAAAACUAGAUGGGGAAUGAGUUUGAUGAAUUGACAGAAGCAGACUUCAGAAGGUGGGUAGUAACAAACUUCUCGGAGCUAAAGGAACAUGUUCUAACCCAAUGCAAGGAAGCUAAGAACCUUGAAAAAGGGUUAGAUGAAAUGCUAACUAGAAUAACCAGUGUAGAGAAGAACAUAAACGACCUGAUGGAGCUGUAAACACAGCACAAGAACUUUGUGAAGCAUACACAAGUUUCAAUAGCUGAAUCGACCAAGUGGAAGAAGAGAUAUCAGAGACUGAGGAUCAACUCAAUGAAAUAAAGUGAGAAGACAAGAUUAAAGAAAAAAAAGUGAAAAGAAAUGCACAAAGCCUCCAAGAAAUAGGAGAUUAUGUGAAAAGACCAAAUCUCUGUUUGAUCACUGUGCCUGAAAGUAAUGGGGAGAAUGAAACCAAGUUGGAAAGCACUCUUCAGACUAUUAUCCAGGAGAACUUCCCCAACCUAGCAAGACAGGCCAACAUUCAAAUUCAGGAAAUACAGAGACCACCACAAAGAUACUUCUUGAGAAGAGCAACCCCAAGACACAUAAUUGUCAUAUUCAUCAGGGUUGAAAUAAAGGAAAAAAUGCUAAGGGAAACCAGAGACAAAGGUUGUGUUACCCAUAAAAAAAGCCCCUCAGGCUCACAGCAGAUCUCUUGGCAGAAACUCUACAAGCCAGAAGAGAGUACAGGCCAAUAUUCAACAUCCUUAAAAAAAAAAAAAAAAAAAAAACAGAAUUUUCAACCCAGAAUUUAAUAUUCAGCUAACCUAUGAUUCAUCAGCAAAAGAGAAAUAAAUUCCUUUACAGAAAAGCAACUGCUGAAAUAUUUUGUCACCACUAGGCCUCCCUUACAAGACCUUCUGAAGGAAACACUAAACAUGGAAAGGAAUAACCAGUACCAGCCACUGCAAAAACGUACCAAAUCAUAAAGACCAUUGACACUAUGAAGAAACUGCAUUAACUAGCAGGCAAAACAACCAGCUAGCAUGAUAAUUGCAGGAUGAAAUUCACACAUAACAUUAACCCUAAAUGUAAAAUGGGCUAAAUUCCCCAACUAAAAAACACAGAGUGGCAAACUGGAUAAAGAGUCAAGACCUAUUGGUGUGCUGUAUUCAGGAGACCCAUCUCAUGUGCAAAGACACAUAUAGGCUCAAAAUAAAGAGAUGGAGGAAGAUUUACCAAGCAAAUGGAAAGCAAAAAAAGCAGAGUUUGCAAUUCUAGUCUCUGAUAAAACAGGCUUUAAAUCAACAAAGAUCAAAAGAGACAAAGAAGGGCAUCACCUAAUGGUAAAGGGAACAAUGCAACAAGAAAAAUGAACUAUCCUAAAUAUAUAUGCACACAAUACAGGAACACCCAGAUACAUAAAGCAAGUUGUUAAUGACCUACAAACAGGAGACUCCCACACAAUAAUUGUGGGAGUCUUUAACACUGCACUGUCAAUAUUAGACAGUUCAACCAGAUGGAAAAUUAACAAGGAUAUCCAGGACUUGAACUCAGAUCUGGACCAAAUGGACCUAAUAGACAUCUACAGAACUCUCCACCCCAAAUCCACAGAAUAUACAUUCUUCUCAGCACCACAUCGAACUUAUUCUAAAAUCAGCCACAUAAUUAGAAGUAAAACAAUCCUCAACAAAUGCAAAAGAAAGUAAAUCAUAACAUUCUCUCAGACCACAGUGCAAUCAAAUGAGAACUCAGGAUUAAGAAACUUACUCAAAAUCAGACAACUACAUGGAAACUGAAAAACCUGCUCCUGAAUGACUACUGGAUAAAAAAUGAAAUGAAGCAGAAAUAAAGAUGUCACAUGCAACCAAUGAGAGUGAAGGCACAACAUACCAGAAUCUCUGGGACACAUUUGAAGCAGUGUGUACAGGGAAAUUUAUAGCACUAAAUAUCCACAGGAGAAAUGAGGAAAGAUAAAAAAUUGACAUCCUAAUGUCACAAUUAAACUAGAAGAGUAAGAUCAAACAAAUUUAAAAGCUAGUAGAAGACAAGAAAUAACUAAGAUCAGAGCAGAACUGAAGAAGACAGAGACAAAAAAGCCUUUCAGAAAAUUCGUGAAUUCAGGAGCUGGUUUAUUGAAAACAACAAAAGAGAUAGACUGCUAGCCUGACUAAUAAAGAAGAAAAGAGAGAAGAAUAAAUAGAUGCAAUAAAAAAUGAUAAAGGGGAUAUCACCACUGAUCCCACAGAAAUACAAACUAACAUCAGAGAAUACUAUAAAAACCUCUAUGCAAACAAACUGGAAAAUCUAGAAGAAAUGGAUAAAUUCCUGGACCCUUACACCCUCCCAAGACUAAACCAGGAAGAAGUUGAAUUCUUGAAUAGGUCAAUAACAAGGUCUGAAAUUAAGGCAGCAAUUAAUAGCUUACCAAACAGAAAAAGUCCAGGACCAGAUGGAUUCACAGCCAAAUUCUACCAGAGAUACAAAGAGAAGCUGAUAUCAUUUUUUCUGACAUUAUUCCAAACAAUAGAAUAAGAGGCUAUCUUCCCUAACUCAUUUUAUGAGAUCAUGAUCAUCCCAUUACCAAAACCCAGCAGAGACACAACUAAAAAAGAAAAUUUCAGGCCAAUAUACAUGAUGAAAAUUGAUGCAAAUAUCCUCGACAAAAUAUUGGUAAACUGAAUCCAACAGCAUUUCAAAAAGCUUAUGCAUCAUGUUCAAGUCAGCUUCAUCUCUGGGAUGCAAGGCUGGUUCCACAUAUGCAAAUCAAUAAAUGUAAUCCAUCACAUAAACAGAACCCAAGACAAAAAACCACAUGAUUAUCCUAAUAGAUGCAAAGAUCUUUGAAAAAAUUCAACAGCCCUUUAUGCUAAAAACUUUCAAUAAACUAGGAAUAGAUGGAACAUAUCUCAAAAUGAUGAGACCUAUUUGUGACAAACCCAUACAUAGCCAAUGUCAUACUGAAUGAGCCAAAACUGGAAGCAAAAUUCGCUUUGAAAACUGGUACAAGACAAGGAUGCCCUCUUUCACCACUCCUAUUCAACAUAGUAUUGGAAGUUCUGGGCAGGGCAGUCAGCAAGAAAAAGAAAGAAACGGUAUUCAAUUAGGAAAAGAGAAAGUCAUGUUGUCUCUAAUUACAGAUGGCAUGAUUGUAUAUUUAGAAGACCCCAUCGUCUCAGCCCAAAAACUCCUUAAGCCAAUAAGCAACUUCAACAAAGUCUCAGUAUAUAAAAUCAAUGUGCAAAAAUCACAAGCAUUCUUAUACACCAACAACAGACAAAUAGCCAAAUCAUGAGUGAACUCCCAUUCACAGUUGCUACAAAGAAAAUAAAAUACCUAGGAAUACAACUAACAAGGGAUGUGAAGGACCUCUUCAAGGAGAACUUCCAAUCACUGUGCAAGGAAAUAAGAGAGGACAUAAACAGAUGGAAAAACAUUCCAUGCUCGUGGUUAGGAAGAAUCAAUAUUGUGAAAAUGGCUACACUUCCCAAAGUAAUCUUUAGAUCCAAUGCUAUCCCCAUCAAGCUAACAUUGACUUUCUUCACAGAAUUGGAAAAAAAUACCUCAAAUUUCAUAUGGAACCAAAAAAAGAGCCAGCAGAGCCAGGACAAUGGAAAACAAAAAUAACAAAGCUGGAGGCUUCACGCUACCUGACUUCAAACUAUACUACAAGACUACAGUAAUCAAAACAGCAUUGUACUGGUUGGUACCAAAACAGAGAUAUAGACUAAUGGAAGAGAACAGAGGCCUCAGAAGUAAUGCCACACAUCUACAGCCAUCUGAUCUUGGACAAAUCUGACACAAACAGCAAUGAGGAAAGGAUUCCCUAUUUAAUAAAUGGUGUUGGGUAAACUAGCUAGCCAUAUUGAGAAAGCAGAAACUGGACGCCUUCCUUACACCUUAUACAAAAGUUAACUCCAGAUGGAUUAAAACUUUAAAUAUAAGACCUAACACCAUAAAAACCCUAGAAGAAAACCUAGAGAAUUCAGGACAUAGGCAUGGACAAGGAGUUCAUGACUAAAACACCAAAAGUAAUGGCAACAAAAGCCAAAACAGACAAAUGGGAUCUAAUUAAAAGUAAGAGCUUCUGCCCAGCAAAAGAAACUAUCAUUAGAGUGAACUGGCAACCAACAGAAUGGGAAAAACAUUUUUGCAAGCUACCCAUCUGACAAAGGGCUAAUAUCCAGAAUCUACAAAUAACUGAAAUAAAUUUACAAGAAAAAAACAACCCCAUCAAAAAGUGGGUGAAAGAUAUGAGCAGAUACUUCUCAAAAGAAGACAUUUAUGCAGCCCACGAACAUAUGAAAAAAAGCUCAUUAUCACUGGUCAUUAGAGAAAUGCAAAUCAAAACUAUAUUAAGAUACCAUCUCAUGCAAGUUAGAAUGGUGAUUAUUAAAAAAUCAGGAGACAACACAUGCUGGAGAAGACGUGGAGAAAUACCAACACUUUUACACUGUGGGAGUGUAAAUUGGUGAAACCAUUGUGGAAGACAGUGUGGCAAUUCCUCAAGGAUCUAGAAAUAAAAAUACCAUUUGACCUAGUAAUCUCAUUACUGGGUAUAUUCCCAAAGGAUUACAAACUGUCCUAUUAUAAAGACACAUGCACAGGUAUGUUUAUUGCAGCACUGUUCACAAGAGCAAAGACUUGGAACCAACCCAAAUGCCCAUCAGUCAUAGACUGGAUAAAGAAAAUGUGGCACAUAUACAUCAUGGAAUACUAUGCAGCCAUAAAAAUGAUAAAUUCAUGUCCUUUUAAGGGACAUGGAUGAAGCUGGAAACCAUCAUUCUCAGCAAACUGACACAAGAAUAGAAAACCAAACACCGCAUGUUCUCACUCAUAAAUGAGUGUUAAACAAUGAGAACCCAUGAACUCAGGGAGGGAAACAUCACACACUGGGGCCU